rnacentral:misc_RNA from 1 species
GAUGAAGAACGCAGCGAAAUGCGAUACGUAGUGUGAAUUGCAGAAUUCCGUGAACCAUCGAAUCUUUGAACGCAAAUUGCGCUCGAGGCCUCGGCUAAGAGCAAGUCUGGCUCAGCGUCGGCUUACUACCCUCAAUCAAUUACCUUGUGAUGAUUGGUUGGAGCUGGCUUUCCGGUGUUCCAAUCAGGUUGCCGGUCAGCUGAAAAACAUUCACGCUGUGGAAGUCGCUUUCCCUUCAAAAAGGAAAGCCGAGUUCCGAUUUGGUAGGUGACCUUUGCCGGUUGCAUGCCUUCGUUGCUCGUUUUGGCUUUCAUGAUAGCGUGUGCAGGACGCCAUUUUGGCUUUCGACCUGAGCUCAGGCAAGAACACCCGCUGAACUUAAGCAUAUCAAUAAGCGGAGGA